rnacentral:rRNA from 1 species
CUACGGGACGCAGCAGUGGGGAAUAUUGCACAAUGGGCGCAAGCCUGAUUCUUCCAUGCCGCGUGUAUGAAGAAGGCCUUCGGGUUGUAAAGUACUUUCAGCGGGGAGGAAGGGAGUAAAGUUAAUACCUUUGCUCAUUGACGUUACCCGCAGAAGAAGCACCGGCAACUCCGUGCCAGCAGCCGCGGUAAUACGGAGGGUGCAAGCGUUAAUCGGAAUUACUGGGCGUAAAGCGCACGCAGGCGGUUUGUUAAGUCAGAUGUGAAAUCCCCGGGCUCAACCUGGGAACUGCAUCUGAUACUGGCAAGCUUGAGUCUCGUAGAGGGGGGUAGAAUUCCAGGUGUAGCGGUGAGAUGCGUAGAGAUCUGGAGGAAUACCGGUGGCGAAGGCGGCCCCCUGGACGAAGACUGACGCUCAGGUGCGAAAGCGUGGGGAGCAAACAGGAUUAGAUACCCCAGUAGUC